AUUGAACGCUGGCGGCAUGCCUUACACAUGCAAGUCGAACGGCAGCACGGGUGCUUGCACCUGGUGGCGAGUGGCGAACGGGUGAGUAAUACAUCGGAACAUGUCCUGUAGUGGGGGAUAGCCCGGCGAAAGCCGGAUUAAUACCGCAUACGAUCCACGGAUGAAAGCGGGGGACCUUCGGGCCUCGCGCUAUAGGGUUGGCCGAUGGCUGAUUAGCUAGUUGGUGGGGUAAAGGCCUACCAAGGCGACGAUCAGUAGCUGGUCUGAGAGGACGACCAGCCACACUGGGACUGAGACACGGCCCAGACUCCUACGGGAGGCAGCAGUGUGGAAUUUUGGACAAUGGGCGAAAGCCUGAUCCAGCAAUGCCGCGUGUGUAAAGAAGGCCUUCGGGUUGUAAAGCACUUUUGUCCGGAAAGAAAUCCUUGACUCUAAUACAGUCGGGGGAUGACGGUACCGGAAGAAUAAGCACCGGCUAACUACGUG
rnacentral:rRNA from 1 species